CCCAAAACGAAAUCCAAUUUCGUCCGCCCUUUUCUCCCACACGCAGACCUCCAAAAUGAAACCCUACCAUCUCACUCUUCCCCGCGGUGUCUCUUCCUUUUCUUCAUCCAAAGCCAUUCUCUUCUUAAAACCUCAACAUCCCUAAAGCCUUCAACGACCUCAGCUGGUCGUCACUUCCUUUAUCGUCUUGGAUUCUCUCCACCCGCACCAGGCCUUCAUCUUUUAGAAGGAGAUUUUCUGUGAAUGCGAGUCAACUUCCAUUAGUCGGCAAUCUGGCAUCUGAUUUUUAUUAUGAUUUGCAGGAAUACAGAGGCAGUUCGGUUCCCCAUAGAGGCCGUCGAUCGUCAUAAAACCUGCCGGAACGCUCCAUUCCCCCACUCCGUCAUCAAAUUGUGGAGUGGCUGCGAGGAUGGCUAUGAUUUCUGGUGGAUGGCAAAAUUGAAGCUGAAGUUAAACUCACUGGAUUCUCAGCUUAGGAGCAUUGCAACCUAGGGAAUCCAGAAAAUAUGGUUAUGCAAAAGCACCAGAAGUAUUUUAUUGCUUCUUCAAGCCAGAUGGUAAGGUAGAGCUGGUAGAACCAGAAUAUGGUGGAGCCAUCUCUCCACAGUGCACAUUGCAGGGCCACGGAGCAGAUGGGUAUCCAAUCUAGGCGUAGUUUGAACUCAUCCAAUCACCCUACCAUGUUUACUUUGCAAAUCUACCAGCACACAUCUAAUUCUUUAGUUAUGGACGUAUAAAGAAGCUAUUCUUCUUUAGAUAGGAUUCCUUAUAUCACAAUUUGUCCGAGGAACUGAUGCGAGUUCAUGAAUAUAAUUUUGACCAUCCUGGUCAAUCCUUCAGAUGUGAUAAUUUUGGAAGGGAUACUUUUUUCAUAUCGUUUCCAAAAAUGCUGUGAUCUAGUCUAGUUACCAUGUAUAUGAACCAUGCAACAAAGUGGCAGGUGUAAAAGCUAAAAGACCAUCUUUACGUGCAUGAAAUCCACCCUCUCCAUAAGGGAUCUAUCUUACAACAAUUUCAGUGGAGAUUGCCAGUCUCAUUCAGUAAUUUCCAUUUUACCAUCAUCAUGGGCAAAGUAGUAACUAGUUUGUAUUUCUAUAGUUUAUUUUCUCUUUGUUUUGUAAGCCAUCAUGGGAAAGGAGAUGCUUCACAUUAACAUUGUCGUCAUUGGUCAUGUCGACUCUGGCAAGUCGACCACAACUGGGCAUCUUAUCUACAGGCUUGGUGGAAUUGAUAAGCGUGUGAUUGAGAGGUUUGAGAAGGAAGUUGCUUAGAUGAACAAGAGGUCAUUCAAGUGUGCAUGGGUUCUUGAUAAGCUCAACACUGAGCGGGAGCGUGGUGUCACUAUUGAUAUUGUAAUUGUAAUCGUAAUUGAAU